CAGUAUUAACCAUCGCAGGAGGAGAGCAUGAGCUACCUUCCAGUGAAACAACCUAGUGAGAUCCAGUACAGCUUCCAACUUAUAUUAGACCAACUUUCCUCCCUAUGACAUUAAUAGCUGGGGUAUGGAGCUGUCAGAGUGACACGUAAACUCCAAUCAGAUCACCAAGUGGCCUCAGAAAUGCACACAUACAAGAGUCCCUCUGUCAGUUCUGAGACACCUGAAGCUAGGAGUGGAGUGAAACCAGCACCCCUGAGGACACCACCACUAUGACUGUGCUCAGCCAGACUUGAAGCCAGCACAACACUGGGUCUUCCCUGCUGUAACCACUCCCUGGCCACUGCCUAUGUUUGCUCAAGGCCUUGGGGCUCUACAAUAAACAGGUGGAAAAGCCAUCCAGGUCUGUGCCCUUCCCUUCAGGGUGGCAAGUUCCCCCAAGCCCCAGGUGGGUCCAGAGAUGUUGUCUAGGAGUCAGG
rnacentral:lncRNA from 10 species